rnacentral:sRNA from 1 species
ACAACAACAAUAACAAGCAUGACCCACGAUAAUAAAAAUAAGACGUAACGGCUUCAGCACAAUAAGAACAAGAUCGCAGAAGGCGCAGCUAACUGAUUAUUUUGGAGAGGAUCGCCUCUCGGCACCACAGCCAGACAGACAACAACAAUAAAUGUCGACGGUCAGCACCCACGGGUGAAGAUCAGGGCCUGAGGUAGCGUCAGCAUCCAAAAUAAUCCGUUCGCUCUUGCUCCCACUCGGGAGGUACUCCGGACCUGAUCCGGAACAGGCACCCCAACAAGAACAACAGCCUGCAUAACAAGAACGACGUAAUGCACUACUUAAGGGGAGCUUCGGCUCCCCUUGUCGUUUCCCGCCCCGGCCUGCCCGCCACC